rnacentral:rRNA from 1 species
UUAAUCGGGGCAGGGCAGGGUGAGUCGACCCAAGGCGAGGCCGAAAGGCGUAGUCGAUGGAAACAGGUUAAUAUUCCUGUACUUGGUGUUACUGCGAAGGGGACGGAGAAGGCUAUGUUGGCCGGGCGACGGUUGUCCCGGUUUAAGCGUGUAGGCUGGUUUUCCAGGCAAAUCCGGAAAAUCAAGGCUGAGGCGUGAUGACGAGGCACUACGGUGCUGAAGCAACAAAUGCCCUGCUUCCAGGAAAAGCCUCUAAGCAUCAGGUAACAUCAAAUCGUACCCAAACCGACACAGGUGGUCAGGUAGAGAAUACCAAGGCGCUUGAGAGAACUCGGGUGAAGGAAUUAGGCAAAAUGGUGCCGUAACUUCGGGAGAAGGCACGCUGAUAUGUAGGUGAAGCGACUUGCUCGUGGAGCUGAAAUCAGUCGAAGAUACCAGCUGGCUGCAACUGUUUAUUAAAACACAGCACUGUGCAAACACGAAAGUGGACGUAUACGGUGUGACGCCUGCCCGGUGCCGGAAGGUUAAUUGAUGGGGUUAGCGCAAGCGAAGCUCUUGAUCGAAGCCCCGGUAAACGGCGGCCGUAACGAUAACGGUCCUAAGGUAGCGAAAUUCCUUGUCGGGUAAGUUCCGACCUGCACGAAUGGCGUAAUGAUGGCCAGGCUGUCUCCACCCGAGACUCAGUGAAAUUGAACUCGCUGUGAAGAUGCAGUGUACCCGCGGCAAGACGGAAAGACCCCGUGAACCUUUACUAUAGCUUGACACUGAACAUUGAGCCUUGAUGUGUAGGAUAGGUGGAGGCUUUGAAGUGUGGACGCCAGUCUGCAUGGAGCCGACCUUGAAAUACCACCCUUCAAUGUUUGAUGUUCUAACGUUGACCCGUAAUCCGGGUUGCGGACAGUGUCUGGUGGGUAGUUUGACUGGGGCGGUCUCCCCUAAAGAGUAACGGAGGAGCACGAAGGUUGGCUAAUCCUGGUCGGACAUCAGGAGGUUAGUGCAAUGGCAUAGCCAGCUUGACUGCGAGCGUGACGGCGCGAGCAGGUGCGAAAGCAGGUCAUAGUGAUCCGGUGGUUCUGAAUGGAAGGGCCAUCGCUCAACGGAUAAAAGGUACUCCGGGGAUAACAGGCUGAUACCGCCCAAGAGUUCAUAUCGACGGCGGUGUUUGGCACUCGAUGUCGGCUCAUCACAUCCUGGGGCUGAAGUAGGUCCCAAGGGUGUGGCUGUUCGCCAUUUAAAGUGGUACGCGAGCUGGGUUUAGAACGUCGUGAGACAGUUCGGUCCCCUGCCGUGGGCGCUGGAGAACUGAGGGGCUGCUCCUAGUACGAGAGGACCGGAGUGGACGCAUCACUGGUGUUCGGGUUGUCAUGCCAAUGGCACUGCCCGGUAGCUAAUGCGGAAGAGAUAAGUGCUGAAAGCAUCUAAGCACGAAACUUGCCCCGAGAUGAGUUCUCCUGACUCCUUGAGAGUCCUGAAGGAACGUUGAAGACGACGACGUUGAUAGGCCGGGUGUAAGCGCAGCGAUGCGUUGAGCUAACCGGUACUAAUGAACCGUGAG